AUUGAACGCUAGCGGGAUGCUUUACACAUGCAAGUCGAACGGCAGCGCGGACUUCGGUCUGGCGGCGAGUGGCGAACGGGUGAGUAAUGUAUCGGAACGUGCCCAGUAGCGGGGGAUAACUACGCGAAAGCGUAGCUAAUACCGCAUACGCCCUACGGGGGAAAGCAGGGGAUCGUAAGACCUUGCACUAUUGGAGCGGCCGAUAUCGGAUUAGCUAGUUGGUGAGGUAACGGCUCACCAAGGCGAAGAUCCGUAGCCGGUUUGAGAGGACGACCAGCCACACUGGGACUGGGACACGGCCCAGACUCCUAAGGGAGACAGCAGUGGGGAAUUUUGGACAAUGGGGGCAACACUGAUCCAGCCAUCCCGCGUGUGCGAUGAAGGCCUUCGGGUUGUAAAGCACUUUUGGCAGGAAAGAAACGUCGCGGGCUAAUACCCCGUGGAACUGACGGUACCUGCAGAAUAAGCACCGGCUAGCUACGUG
rnacentral:rRNA from 1 species